rnacentral:sRNA from 1 species
GAGGUUUCUGGGAGCCAAGAGUGGUAAUGGCGUCCGUAUGAUCUUCGGAGUCUGCUGCAUCGGACCUCGGCCAGUCAUAAAAGAUGACAACAGCAGCCAGGCCAACCUUUGAACCUGCAAGAGGUGGAAGGGGAAAAGGAGAAGGUGAUUUGAGCCAACUUUCAAAGCAGUAUUCAAGCAGAGACCUACCCUCUCAUACAAAGAUAAAAUACAGACAGACUACUCAGGAUGCCCCUGAAGAGGUUCGUAACCGUGACUUCAGGAGAGAGUUGGAAGAAAGAGAGAGAGCUGCUGCAAGAGAGAAAAAUAGGGAUCGUCCAACCCGAGAACAUACAACCUCCUCUUCAGUGUCAAAAAAGCCACGGUUAGACCAGAUUCCUGCCGCCAACCUUGAUGCCGAUGACCCUCUAACAGAUGUAUGUUUUGUUUCCUCCUUUCAUCUCUAAUAAUUGAUUUACCAUGUUUUUCUAAAAUACUUGUUAUGUCUUUGCUUUAAGAAGUGACAUAUAUUUAUGUUUACUUACUGUUAUUCAAAUAUAGCCCUGACCUCAGUGCUAAACUUUAUAGUUGAUUUUAAAACCAAAAGUAUUAUUUUGUGGGACUUUAAGAACAAGUUUGAUCUCUAGAGAACCAAAUAUGGAAGGAAUCUAUAAAAGGAUAUGCUUUCCCCCAAAAUAAUGUCCUGUACUAAACUACUGCACUACUGCUGUGUUACACACCUCACCUCUCCAGGGCACUCUUCAUACUGGGCUUCCUAUAAACAGUGCCCUCUAGAGUUGUACCUGGAGGCCUUUCCAUAUUAGAUAUGUCCCCUUCUAUAAGUGCAAUACACUUAAUGGUUCCCACUGUGCUUAGGGAGGGAAGUAAUCUAAGCAGAAGGUUUUUAAGGAUUAGCACAUCAGUUAAUGUU